GCGCCCCCCACCGGCCAGCCGCGCCGGGCCUCCAUCGAUCUGCUCGGAGAGCCACUCGCCGUCCUGCUGCCGCUCCCAGAGACGCAGACGCGGCGGCGAAAGCAGGGGAAAUUGUGGAAAAGGCAUUGGAUGGUCCUCACUGCAAAGUGGACAGGUUCCAGCCAGAGUUCUAGCCCCAGCCAGUCUUUGUGCUGUCAACCCACAGAGAAUGCUUAGACCAACAGAAGAAAACUACUGGACAUUUUCCAUAGACUGCAUUAAAG